rnacentral:piRNA from 1 species
AGCCUCCAGUAGGCGCUGUGCUG